rnacentral:lncRNA from 1 species
GGAGCUCGGCCAUCUCCGAGACCUGAGACACCUCAACCGCAGCUACAACUCCAUCCAAGGGCCGAUCCCAGCGACGCUUUCAACCUGCAGAGGAAUGGAGAACAUUUGGCUCUACAGCAACAAGCUGCAGGGCCAAAUACCAAGUGAGUUUGGAUCCCUGCAAAAUCUUCAGGCACUUGUUCUUGGGGAAAAUAGACUUACUGGAAGCAUCCCUUCAUUCAUUGGAAGCCUCGCGAAUCUGAAAUUUCUAAUCCUAGAAGAAAACAACUUUACAGGAGAAAUUCCAUCAGACAUAGGCAGACUGGCCAAUCUCACUGUUCUAGGACUAGGUUCUAAUCAACUCUCAGGACCAAUUCCUGCCUCAAUAGG